ACGACCAUACCCACUGGAGAACUCGGGAUCCCGUCCGCUCUCCCAUAGAUAAGCCAGUGAGGGCCGGAUUAGUAGUUGGGUCGGUGACGACCAGCGAAUACCCGGUGUUGUAUGUU
rnacentral:rRNA from 1 species